rnacentral:rRNA from 1 species
AGAACGAACGCUGGCGGCGUGGAUAAGACAUGCAAGUCGAACGGAGUAUUCUGGUAGCAAUAUCAGGAUGCUUAGUGGCAAACGGGUGCGUAACACGUAGGUUACAUUCCGGAAAGUGUGGGAUAGCCCAGGGAAACUUGGAUUAAUACCGCAUGUGAUCGCAAGAUCAAAGGUGGCAACACCGCUUUCCGAUUGGCCUGCGCCCUAUCAGCUAGUUGGUGAGGUAAUGGCUCACCAAGGCGACGACGGGUAGCCGGCCUGAGAGGGCGACCGGCCACACUGGGACUGAGACACGGCCCAGACUCCUACGGGAGGCAGCAGUGGGGAAUAUUGCGCAAUGGGCGAAAGCCUGACGCAGCGACGCCGCGUGGGGAUGAAGGCCUUCGGGUUGUAACCCCUUUCAGCAGGGACGAAGCGAAGUGACGGUACCUGCAGAAGAAGCGCCGGCUAACUACGUGCCAGCAGCCGC